rnacentral:rRNA from 1 species
GUGCCAGCAGCCGCGGUAAUACGUAGGUGGCAAGCGUUGUCCGGAUUUAUUGGGCUGUAAAGCGAGCGCAGGCGGUUUCUUAAGUCUGAUGUGAAAGCCCCCGGCUCAACCGGGGAGGGUCAUUGGAAACUGGGAGACUUGAGUGCAGAAGAGGAGAGUGGAAUUCCAUGUGUAGCGGUGAAAUGCGUAUGAUAUAUUGGAAGGAACACCAGUGGCGAAGGCGACUCUCUGGUCUGUAACUGACGCUGAGGCUCGAAAGCGUGGGGAGCAAACAGGAUUAGAUACCCUGGUAGUCC